rnacentral:rRNA from 1 species
AGGACGUCACUUAACUUGGAGUCCGAACUCUCACUUUCUAACCCUGUGCACUUGUUUGGGAUAGUAACUCUCGCAAGAGAGCGAACUCCUAUUCACUUAUAAACACAAAGUCUAUGAAUGUAUUAAAUUUUAUAACAAAAUAAAACUUUCAACAACGGAUCUCUUGGCUCUCGCAUCGAUGAAGAACGCAGCGAAAUGCGAUAAGUAAUGUGAAUUGCAGAAUUCAGUGAAUCAUCGAAUCUUUGAACGCACCUUGCGCUCCAUGGUAUUCCGUGGAGCAUGCCUGUUUGAGUGUCAUGAAUACUUCAACCCUCCUCUUUCUUAAUGAUUGAAGAGGUGUUUGGUUUCUGAGCGCUGCUGGCCUUUACGGUCUAGCUCGUUCGUAAUGCAUUAGCAUCCGCAAUCGAACUUCGGAUUGACUUGGCGUAAUAGACUAUUCGCUGAGGAAUUCUAGUCUUCGGAUUAGAGCCGGGUUGGGUUAAAGGAAGCUUCUAAUCAGAAUGUCUACAUUUUAAGAUUAGAUCUCAAAUCAGGUAGGACUACCCGCUGAACUUAAGCAUAUCAAUAAGCGAGGGAAAAAAAAAAA